rnacentral:rRNA from 1 species
GGGUUGUGAGGUUAAGCGACUAAGCGUACACGGUGGAUGCCCUGGCAGUCAGAGGCGAUGAAGGACGUGCUAAUCUGCGAUAAGCGUCGGUAAGGUGAUAUGAACCGUUAUAACCGGCGAUUUCCGAAUGGGGAAACCCAGUGUGUUUCGACACACUAUCAUUAACUGAAUCCAUAGGUUAAUGAGGCGAACCGGGGGAACUGAAACAUCUAAGUACCCCGAGGAAAAGAAAUCAACCGAGAUUCCCCCAGUAGCGGCGAGCGAACGGGGAGCAGCCCAGAGCCUGAAUCAGUGUGUGUGUUAGUGGAAGCGUCUGGAAAGGCGUGCGAUACAGGGUGACAGCCCCGUACACAAAAAUGCACAUGCUGUGAGCUCGAUGAGUAGGGCGGGACACGUGGUAUCCUGUCUGAAUAUGGGGGGACCAUCCUCCAAGGCUAAAUACUCCUGACUGACCGAUAGUGAACCAGUACCGUGAGGGAAAGGCGAAAAGAACCCCGGCGAGGGGAGUGAAAAAGAACCUGAAACCGUGUACGUACAAGCAGUGGGAGCCUCUUUAUGGGGUGACUGCGUACCUUUUGUAUAAUGGGUCAGCGACUUAUAUUCUGUAGCAAGGUUAACCGAAUAGGGGAGCCGAAGGGAAACCGAGUCUUAACUGGGCGUUAAGUUGCAGGGUAUAGACCCGAAACCCGGUGAUCUAGCCAUGGGCAGGUUGAAGGUUGGGUAACACUAACUGGAGGACCGAACCGACUAAUGUUGAAAAAUUAGCGGAUGACUUGUGGCUGGGGGUGAAAGGCCAAUCAAACCGGGAGAUAGCUGGUUCUCCCCGAAAGCUAUUUAGGUAGCGCCUCGUGAAUUCAUCUCCGGGGGUAGAGCACUGUUUCGGCAAGGGGGUCAUCCCGACUUACCAACCCGAUGCAAACUGCGAAUACCGGAGAAUGUUAUCACGGGAGACACACGGCGGGUGCUAACGUCCGUCGUGAAGAGGGAAACAACCCAGACCGCCAGCUAAGGUCCCAAAGUCAUGGUUAAGUGGGAAACGAUGUGGGAAGGCCCAGACAGCCAGGAUGUUGGCUUAGAAGCAGCCAUCAUUUAAAGAAAGCGUAAUAGCUCACUGGUCGAGUCGGCCUGCGCGGAAGAUGUAACGGGGCUAAACCAUGCACCGAAGCUGCGGCAGCGACACUAUGUGUUGUUGGGUAGGGGAGCGUUCUGUAAGCCUGUGAAGGUGUGCUGUGAGGCAUGCUGGAGGUAUCAGAAGUGCGAAUGCUGACAUAAGUAACGAUAAAGCGGGUGAAAAGCCCGCUCGCCGGAAGACCAAGGGUUCCUGUCCAACGUUAAUCGGGGCAGGGUGAGUCGACCCCUAAGGCGAGGCCGAAAGGCGUAGUCGAUGGGAAACAGGUUAAUAUUCCUGUACUUGGUGUUACUGCGAAGGGGGGACGGAGAAGGCUAUGUUGGCCGGGCGACGGUUGUCCCGGUUUAAGCGUGUAGGCUGGUUUUCCAGGCAAAUCCGGAAAAUCAAGGCUGAGGCGUGAUGACGAGGCACUACGGUGCUGAAGCAACAAAUGCCCUGCUUCCAGGAAAAGCCUCUAAGCAUCAGGUAACAUCAAAUCGUACCCCAAACCGACACAGGUGGUCAGGUAGAGAAUACCAAGGCGCUUGAGAGAACUCGGGUGAAGGAACUAGGCAAAAUGGUGCCGUAACUUCGGGAGAAGGCACGCUGAUAUGUAGGUGAAGCGACUUGCUCGUGGAGCUGAAAUCAGUCGAAGAUACCAGCUGGCUGCAACUGUUUAUUAAAAACACAGCACUGUGCAAACACGAAAGUGGACGUAUACGGUGUGACGCCUGCCCGGUGCCGGAAGGUUAAUUGAUGGGGUCAGCGCAAGCGAAGCUCUUGAUCGAAGCCCCGGUAAACGGCGGCCGUAACUAUAACGGUCCUAAGGUAGCGAAAUUCCUUGUCGGGUAAGUUCCGACCUGCACGAAUGGCGUAAUGAUGGCCAGGCUGUCUCCACCCGAGACUCAGUGAAAUUGAACUCGCUGUGAAGAUGCAGUGUACCCGCGGCAAGACGGAAAGACCCCGUGAACCUUUACUAUAGCUUGACACUGAACAUUGAGCCUUGAUGUGUAGGAUAGGUGGGAGGCUUUGAAGUGUGGACGCCAGUCUGCAUGGAGCCGACCUUGAAAUACCACCCUUUAAUGUUUGAUGUUCUAACGUGGACCCGUUAUCCGGGUUGCGGACAGUGUCUGGUGGGUAGUUUGACUGGGGCGGUCUCCUCCUAAAGAGUAACGGAGGAGCACGAAGGUUGGCUAAUCCUGGUCGGACAUCAGGAGGUUAGUGCAAUGGCAUAAGCCAGCUUGACUGCGAGCGUGACGGCGCGAGCAGGUGCGAAAGCAGGUCAUAGUGAUCCGGUGGUUCUGAAUGGAAGGGCCAUCGCUCAACGGAUAAAAGGUACUCCGGGGAUAACAGGCUGAUACCGCCCAAGAGUUCAUAUCGACGGCGGUGUUUGGCACCUCGAUGUCGGCUCAUCACAUCCUGGGGCUGAAGUAGGUCCCAAGGGUAUGGCUGUUCGCCAUUUAAAGUGGUACGCGAGCUGGGUUUAGAACGUCGUGAGACAGUUCGGUCCCUAUCUGCCGUGGGCGCUGGAGAACUGAGGGGGGCUGCUCCUAGUACGAGAGGACCGGAGUGGACGCAUCACUGGUGUUCGGGUUGUCAUGCCAAUGGCACUGCCCGGUAGCUAAAUGCGGAAGAGAUAAGUGCUGAAAGCAUCUAAGCACGAAACUUGCCCCGAGAUGAGUUCUCCCUGACUCCUUGAGAGUCCUGAAGGAACGUUGAAGACGACGACGUUGAUAGGCCGGGUGUGUAAGCGCAGCGAUGCGUUGAGCUAACCGGUACUAAUGAACCGUGAGGCUUAACCUUACAACGCCGAAG